GGUUGCGAUCAUACCAGCACUAAUGCACCGGAUCCCAUCAGAACUCCGCAGUUAAGCGUGCUUGGGCGAGAGUAGUACUAGGAUGGGUGUAACAUUUGUGCUUGAAAUCU
rnacentral:rRNA from 2 species